AAAAAAAAGAUAAACACCUUGCCAUAUAAAACCUUUAAAGAAAAAGUACAUAAAUAACAAUGAAAACCACUAGACUAAGUUUAAUUCUUAAGCGCCAUUUGAAUUUCAACGACACACCUGCUACACUUUUCAAUCAGAAAAUUGUUUAAAAACAAGUGCAAUUCACCGUAUCGCAUUUAUAUUGCUCGAAAUGAUAUAAAGCAAAGAAAAUGUGGAUAUCAUUGCCAAUGAGUCAACUCUACAUCAAAGACCACAUAACGUGGAAUUGGAAGUAUAAGUUACCAGAAAGUUUUCAAC
rnacentral:lncRNA from 1 species